CACAGUGUCCUCAUGGUGCAAGUGGUCAAACCUCCACCUCUUUGAAGAGACCAAGCAGCUUGAUGACUGACUGGUUCUUUAUACUCCGGACCUCGUCCCGGAGUAGAGGACAGACCUAAGGCCCGCAGCGCAGCCGACUAGAGACUCUCUGUGGAACCGGUUCAAUAAAGUUGACCUCUCCUUCUGGCGACUUAAAGGGAGACCAGAUGUGCGGCAGCUGGGUGUCGUGGUGCAGAGAAAGUAAUUAUUUUCUCCAUUAUGUUGCACCACAUUUUGGGGAAGAAUGUUUGAAUCAAUCUUUGUCAUUUAUUUCUGUACUCCACAUCUGUAAUCCCAGCUGUUGUAUUGUAACACGGUAGCUGGGACCCCUCUUUAUAGGGAGCGGCUAAAGGGACGAGGCUGGAAGCAAACCUGAGCCUGGAUCUUAACCUUCUUUCUAAACCUAAUGCCGCAAUUUAACCGCAAAGAAAGUGAGGCCUAAAGUAACUUGACUGUUACCUAAACUUGCUUGCCUAAACUCGCUUGUCUAAACUCGCUUGCAUAAAACCUAAACUCGCUUGCAUAAAACCUGAACUUGCUUGGCUAAACUCGCGUCGCUUGCCUAAUACCUGAACUCGCUUGCCUAAACUCGCUUGCCUAAACUCGCU